rnacentral:tRNA from 2 species
AAAGAAAUAUUUUUAAAAAAGCUUCUAACUUUUUAUCUAGCAUUAAUAUGUUUAU